AACGCGAAGAACCUUACCAGGUCUUGACAUCCCGAUGCAAACACUAGAGAUAGUGUCCUUCUUCGGAACAUUGGAGACAGGUGGUGCAUGGUUGUCGUCAGCUCGUGUCGUGAGAUGUUGGGUUAAGUCCCGCAACGAGCGCAACCCUUGAUUUUAGUUGCCAGCACUUCGGGUGGGCACUCUAGAAUGACUGCCGGUGACAAACCGGAGGAAGGCGGGGAUGACGUCAAAUCAUCAUGCCCCUUAUGACCUGGGCUACACACGUACUACAAUGGUCGAUACAACGGGUAGCGAAGGAGCGAUCUGGAGCCAAUCCUAUCAAAGUCGAUCUCAGUUCGGAUUGCAGGCUGCAACCCGCCUGCAUGAAGUCGGAAUUGCUAGUAAUCGCGGAUCAGCAUGCCGCGGUGAAUACGUUCCCGGGCCUUGUACACACCGGUACUA
rnacentral:rRNA from 1 species